GUCUUCUUGAUUAUAAUUUGAAGUCUGACCUGCUCUAUGAUUUUUAAAUGGCCGCAGUAUUUUGACUGUGCUAAGGUAGCAUAAUAAUUAGUUUCUUAAUUAGAAGCUUGUAUGAAUGGUUUGAUGAGAAAACUGCUUUCUUAUAAUUAAUUUUUUGAAUUUUAUCUUUAAGUUAAAAAGCUUAAAUUUAUUUAGGGGACGAGAAGACCCUUUAGAAUUUUAUAUAAUUUAAAGUUAAUUUUUUUUGGAAUUAAGAUAAUUAAUUUAAAAUUGUAUUUAGUUGGGGUGACUGAAAAAUUUAGUUAACUUUUUUUAUUUUUUACAUUAUAAAAGGUUUUAUGAUCCGUUAAACGAUUAUAAGAAAAAAUUACCUAAGGGAUAACAGCGUUAUAAUUUUUUAGAGUUCUUAUCGAAAAAAUUGAUUGCGA
rnacentral:rRNA from 1 species